rnacentral:rRNA from 1 species
GACGAACGCUGGCGGCGUGCUUAACACAUGCGAGUCGAACGGAAAGGCCCUGCUUUUGUGGGGUGCUCGAGUGGCGAACGGGUGAGUAACACGUGAGUAACCUGCCCUUGACUUUGGGAUAACUUCAGGAAACUGGGGCUAAUACCGGAUAGGAGCUCCUGCUGCAUGGUGGGGGUUGGAAAGUUUCGGCGGUUGGGGAUGGACUCGCGGCUUAUCAGCUUGGUGGUGGGGUAGUGGCUUACCAAGGCUUUGACGGGUAGCCGGCCUGAGAGGGUGACCGGCCACAGUGGGACUGAGAUGCCAGCCGGACUCCUACGGGAGGCAGCAGUGAGGAAUAUUGCACGAUGGGCGGAAGCCUGAUGCAGCAACGCCGCGUGCUAGAUGACGGCCUUCGGGGUGUAAACCGCUUUCGCCUGUGACGAAGCGUGAGUGACGGUAAUGGGUAAGGAAGCACCGGCUAACUACGUG